AACGCGAAGAACCUUACCUGGGCUCGAAAUGUAGUGGAAUCGGGUGGAAACAUCCGCGUCUCGCAAGAGACUGCUAUAUAGGUGCUGCAUGGCUGUCGUCAGCUCGUGUUGUGAGAUGUUGGGUUAAGUCCCGUAACGAGCGCAACCCCUGUCCUUAGUUGCCAACACGUAAAGGUGGGAACUCUAAGGAGACUGCCGGUGACAAACCGGAGGAAGGUGGGGAUGACGUCAAGUCAUCAUGGCCUUUAUGGGUAGGGCCACACACGUGCUACAAUGGUCGGUACAAAGGGAAGCGAACACGCGAGUGGGAGCAAAUCUCAGAAAACCGAUCGUAGUCCGGAUUGGAGUCUGGAACUCGACUCCAUGAAGUUGGAAUCGCUAGUAAUCGCGGAUCAGAACGCCGCGGUGAAUACGUUCCCGGGCCUUGUACACACCGCAUAC
rnacentral:rRNA from 1 species